rnacentral:tmRNA from 1 species
GGCCUUCCGUUGCGCCAAUUCGCGCCUAUAUUUCGCAGGCCGGUUCGCCGGCUAUGACAAUAAAGUGCCGUCGCAAUAAACCAUUCGGACCCGGGGGCAGUACCCGGCGCCUCCACCCAAGCCCGCAAGUCCGGCGGGCUUCGGCGGGGGCGAUCCAGGAUCGACGAGGGCGUAAAGGGCGAGCUUUUGUCCGGUAUGGUUCCGCCGUGAUCGGGCCAUGCAAUAGUUGCCAACGACAACUAUGCUCCGGUUGCUCAGGCGGCGUAACGCCGUUUGAAAGACCACGCUGAAGCCCUGGCGGGUUAAGCUCCGUCGGGCGGGGUUCGGAGGCGCCUGGCAACAGAAGCCUCCACU